AGGAUGGUUGUAUUCAGCUCCAAGUUCAUUCCAUUCAAAUUUAUUCUCUUCAGGUUCAGAGGCUGACAACAUUCUAGGCCUAGAUUGUGUGGAGGCUUGAAGCUUCCAGGACUAGGCCUAGGUUAGCAGACAGAGGCAAUAAGCCUCAGAGAUGACAAUUAAUUCAGGCAAAUAAAAGUUAUUUUUACAUGAGGUUCUCUUUCAACACAAAACGAGGCCAAACUUUUCACAGAAGGAAGUAUCUAGACGAGUGUACUAAGUGUUUAAAGAUUAUGAAAAUUAAUUAUUGUCUCCCCCUACACUUUAUUAGUGGGGACAGUUUCUCGCUUGAAAACACACGGUGCUUCGAAUUUAUGACACACAAUCCUCUUUCACAGAAAGACGGCAUCUCAGAUUAUAUCCUUCUCAAUUCCUCGAAGUAUAAUGGAUAAUAAAUUACAGAGUUUAAUUAAAACCUCUUUAUCAGAUGGGCAUUUACCCAUGACAUGGUUAUGCACAACUGGGGUUUCUGUGGAGGGCUGCAUUUCCAUAUCUCUUCGUGAUUUUACUCACAGAUUCUUAUAAUUGCAUUUCAAAUUAUAUCCAUUUCCACAAAGCCACACCAUAAACCCGUCAAACAUUUAUGACGACCCCUUUACCACACACAUUCACUUAAAACCCCCCUCUCAUGUUUGCUUUUCAAAAAGCCAUCCUUUCCUCCUGUUUUUCAAUGGCCAGAGGAAGAAACACUAACCACUGGGUUUAAGGGCAGUUAGAGAAGAGGGAUCCGGCUUCCAUCCCAGCUCUACAUUGCAUCCAGAAUGGCUUCCCUUCCGGGAGCCUCAGCUCCAGUUCCUACUAUAGCAUAAGUCUAGCCAUCACCUUAAAUAAAGAACAGGAUGUUCUGUGUGAAAGGAAACAUUUCCUGGCAUCUACUAAGGGGUGGGUUUGAUUAUAGUCAUAAUUAUUAUAACAAAUUCUACUUAAUGUUUCAAAAAUGGUUUUCUCUUUUGGAGCUUUGGAGGUAGUAUAAUACAAAUAAACAUUUAUUGCUGAUGUCUCGGGCUGAACGUGGAAAUUUUACUACGUUAUUAAGGUCUUGGCUUCACAACUUAACUUCUGUUAAGUGAAGGGUUUCUCUGUACACUGAGUGGUGUGACUUCCUUUCAAGUUCACUACAGUCUCGAUGUUAAUAUCCUUCCAAAUUGCUGUGAUUUGAAAAUGUUGUCAGAUUCUGCUUCUUAUUUAUAUAUCACGGGAAAGAAAAAGGCAUUAAUGGAUCAAAGUGUUCAAAAAUCUACAAGGUGCCAGAAACAAGUAUUUUACAAAAGACAGAAAAAUGACUAAAAUAAUCUACAAGAAGAGUAUUGAAUCCUUUAAAAAAAUGAAUCAUUUAAAGAAAUAUUUCUUUCUGGAGAUGGAGAGAUGACUCAGUGGUUAGUUGUUUCCUGCUCUUUGAGAGGACCCAUGCUUGCUCCCAGAACCCAUAUGAAGAGAUUCAGGAUCACCUGUAACUCUAGCUCUAGGGGAUCUGACCACCACUUCCAGCAUCCAAGGGCACCCACACAUGUGUGGUGCAUACACACAUGCACACACACAUGCACUCAAACAUGCAUGCACACAUGCACACACAUAUAUACACAUACACAGGUCCAUACAGAUGCAUACAUGGACACACAUGCAUCCACACAUGCACACAUACGUACACACAAAUAUACACACAUACACAUACACAGACAUAUACAUAAAAUAAACAGAGCUUUUAAAAUGUGAUGUUUCUUGAAGAUCUGUUUCUUAUCAGCACGUUCAGAUUUUUCCUUUCCGUCGACCAUGGCUGGGGGAGGAAAUUCAUAUAGUGACCCCAGCUCUUUGCAUCUUCAUAAAGAUCAAGGGUCAGUAGUUGGCUGAAAUCACAUCACGCAUAAUGACCGGUGGCCCCAACCAAGUCAGGAAGGCUCAGAGUCGUGUCUCAUUCUCUCUUUUCCUCAUAAAUAAAGUGUAUUCUGGUUUCUUUUCCCUUUUUUAUAAGUACUUGACCAUGAAACAGAAGACACAGUCACCAUCACAUCCCUGGCUUUACAUCUGUGAGGAGAGGAAAGCCAGCCUUCCCAUAGAAUGGUACACAUGGGUAACCACGGAGCUUGGGGUGCAACGCUGAGACGUUACAAAGGAACCAUCUCCCUUCAAUGCUGCAGCCUGGGAAAGGAUGCUAGUCCUUGCGACACCGAAUAAAGAGGAUUGGAGCUGAAGCAUAGACAAAUUCGCUUGCACUAAUUCAUCCAACCAGUUUCAUCAAAGUAUGUUUGAAAGCCAAAGCCCAGACGCUUAACAGCGCUGUAAACUAUAUCAGUUUCUUCAAGUUAUAACAGUAGAGUAAGAUCAAGGAUACCCAGGGGGAUGGGCCACCGCCUGCUUUAUACCUGUUCGACAAGCAUAUGCUGGGUGAAUCUGAUGAGCCAGCCCCCUAAACAAAACCUUAGAAAUUAACAAGACCCUGGGUGAGGUGGAAGUUUUGGUUUCUUUGCAAAAUCAGUUGUAUCAGAUGCUGUUUAGCUGGGGGCAGACCCAUGAAGGAGUGUAUUCCUGAAGCAGACGCAGGUGAAAGGAUGUUUUGCUAAGUACAACACGCGAAAGGACACGUGAUGAAGGAUUGUUCGCUAACAACAGGCAUGCACUGGUUCGCCUUACAUUGUGGGAGUCAUGUGGAGUUUUGCUAAGGCUGAGGCAAGACACGUGGUGAGGCAAGACCCAUGGAGGACACGUGAUGUUUGGAGGGCGGAUCAAUAGGACUCAGUGGACAGUGGCGGGGGCUUGGAUAGCUAGCUUUGCAACAGUUGGUUGGUUUCACAUCUUCGCUGAGAGAGGCACAGCCAAGAACUUCGCCUGGAGAUCCUGGCUGAUUCACGACGAUUUGGUGGAGGCCUGGCUGUCUCUGACAGGUCGUGGCCCUGCAGCUGAUUCCUGUUUGCUAUCCUGGCACACUGAGCCGGACUGCUGCUGUACCCGUGAAGUAACCGUGAAGUAUUUGCAAGGGGAUGGCUCCCUCUGGGGACUCCUAUGAGCUGAACUGCUGACUUCCGGACAACGCAGAUGGGAUUUGCUCCAAAGAACCAUUUCUAAACAGGUGCACUCCCCCUGCACCCUAAGAACCUUUCCUUUACACUACCUCUGGCGGGAGGUGGACCAGAAGUAGAUUAAAGCGAGUAAGAACCCAUAUUAAAAAUAGGUUUUGAAAAUGUUAAAACUACACCUGGGCCUUACUUAUGUAUACAUUUCUUCUUCUAGUCUUCUCCUCAGCCUUGUUUUCCUGUUUUGUGUCCCUGUUUUGUCUCUGUUGGGUUUUGUCUUCCCCUGGGUCACGGACACUGGGUGGGUGGGUGAGCGGGAUGAAUGAAGACUGGACGCGCUGAAAUCCCAGCUCCAACAAGAGUAUGAGUUUUCGGGGUUGGGGAUUUAGCUCAGUGGUAGAGCGCUUGCCUAGGAAGCGCAAGGCCCUGGGUUCGGUCCCCAGCUCCGGAAAAAAAGAAAAAAAGAGUAUGAGUUUUCUGCAACUACAGCCACCCAGUUUCCCAAGCUCUUCGUCUUAUUUGCCCUGCAACUUUGAGUAGAUCAGAUUGUUCUGGAAUUAAGAAUACAGGGUUGCUAGGUCCCCGACACUGAAAACAUGGCAGCUUUGCCUUCAUCAGUCCUGAAUGCUGGCGGUGGGUUAGCCCCAGCCGUUGGUCUGCAUAGCCCCAGCCGUUGGUCUGCAGAAUUCUCGUACAUGCAAACGGUUCUCUGCAACUGGCGCCCUUCUCUACACCAUGCCCAUCCGCACCGCGGAUGCGAUCAUUAGCUACAAACGUAGCACCUAUUUCUUAGACACUAUGACUAACAUGAUGCCUGGACAACAACCAGCCGAUUACUAACUUCACUUCCCUUCUGGUCUGAAGAAUGUAGCACACGGAAUUCUGGGAGAUUUAUCUAAGAACACUUUCUGCAUCCUAGUUUCAUCGGUAAAUUAUUCUCAAACCAUGAGGUUCCCAAACUUGACCUUCCUGAAAUUGAACUGGUGGUGGCCAAAGAGAGCAUUUCCUUCUGAUGUCCAUUAUCCUGGAGAAAUGGAAAAGUAUGUUCAGAGACACCCUGGGCUCAGAAGCUGUGCUCCACCAUCUGGACAAAAACCCCCAGGGUUAGAAAACUACAGAAAUUCUACAAAUCAGACCAAGCGGCAGCCUUCGACAUCCCCAGUCUCCGUUUUAUUUAUCUUCCCUGGCUACCUCCAUUUUCCCCUCCAAAUGGAAAGCUAAAGUAAGAUAUGUGUUUGACAGAACAUUGUCAGAAUUCAUUUUACAGAAAUGUACUGUUCACAGUGUCCUUUGAUCAGUGGCAAUGUCUUUUGAAAUUGAAAUGGAAUGGAUUAUAUGGUGACCCACCUCCUCUCCCGAGCUAGCUUUGGAAGUGUUGUAAAUACGGAGGGUUUUUUAUUGUUGUUGCUGUUGCUUUGUCUCUAUUUCUUUGGCUCUUUUGGACUUGAACUUACCUGAGAGUGACUUUACCAAGUCUUUGAAAAGGAUGCUGACAACAAUGCUGAUCAAUGUGACUCAGACAAUUACUUUAGAAUUGGCCUAUAAGAACACAUGCUCAUAAAUCAUUCACACAAAAUUUGUAAUUAAGCUUAAGUCUUUGAGGUUUGGGAUGAAGAAAAGACCAGAUGAAUGUCAAGACUAAACUUUGCAAGACUAAAAGCAUUAGAUUACUGUCUUGGGCUUUGCCAGUCCAUCUUUGGGGAAGAGGUUGAACAGAAUGAGAACAUGCCUGCUCUGUGGCCCAGCAGGGUUAAAAAUGCUAGUUUGCUCAGCAGGUUUCCCAGGUCCUGCUCUUGAAUUACCAUCCUCCUUCCACCUAUGCUCUGCUCUCUACUGGGGAACAUGCUGCCUCCCAGCCAGCUAUGGGCAUUCCAGUUACACUCUUACAUAGGGUGACCUCUCCAGUUACACUCUUACAUAGGGUGACCUCUCCAGUUACACUCUUACAUAGGGUGACCUCUCCAGUUACACUCUUACAUAGGGUGACCUCUCCAGUUACACUCUUACAUAGGGUGUCCUCUCCAGCUACACUCUUACAUAGGGUGACCACUCCAAAUACACUCUUACAUAGGGUGAUCUCUCCAGUUACACUCUUACAUAGGGUGUCCUCUCCAGCUACACUCUUACAUAGGGUGACCUCUCCAGUUACACUCUUACAUAGGGUGACCACUCCAAAUACACUCUUACAUAGGGUGACCACUCCAAAUACACUCUUACAUAGGGUGACCUCUCCAGCUACACUCUUACAUAGGGUGGUGAGCUCUCCAGCUACACUCUUACAUAGGGUGACCUCUCCAGUUACACUCUUACAUAGGGUGAUCUCUCCAGUUACACUCUUACAUAGGGUGACCUCUCCAGUUACACUCUUACAUAGGGUGACCACUCCAAAUAUACUCUUACAUAGGGUGACCUCUCCAGCUACACUCUUACAUAGGGUGACCUCUCCAGUUACACUCUUACAUAGGGUGACCUCUCCAGUUACACUCUUACAUAGGGUGACCACUCCAGUUACACUCUUACAUAGGGUGACCUCUCCAGUUACACUCUUACAUAGGGUGACCACUCCAAAUAUCCAGUUACACUCUUACAUAGGGUGACCUCUCCAGUUACACUCUUACAUAGGAUGACUUCAGUGUAUCCAGGGAUUUUAUCUUCUUUCUAGAUGUUUCCACCAGCCAAUCCCAAGAAGUUGUGACAUUCAUUUACCAGGAUUCAUUACAUGUUCUUGAGACAGAUCACACAUGCUCAAGAUUCCUUAUUGGUCUUCCUUGGCCAUGUGCCCACUCUGGCAUAGAGAAGGGAAUGGUAAUAUCAAAACCUUUAGGGAGAGAUGGAUCUAAAAGCGAGUAUCAAAAGCAACACAUUAAGCACACUGCCCUCCGACUCCAUCAGCCAGGGAAUGCAAUGCUUGAAGUAUAAUGCUGGAUUAAAAAAAAUUUCAUCAACUAUAAAAAA